rnacentral:lncRNA from 1 species
CUCGUCCUUUUCCUAUAACACCAGGCACAACAAAUGUAUACAUAGUAUUCUUUCCAGUUGAUCCGACCUCAUUUUCAACCUUUAAUCGUUUCAUGUUGAACCUAUAAAAAAAACAAAUAAGAAAAAAAGAAUAUGAAAAAAAUGUGGGAUGAUAUAGUAAUACAUUAAAUCAUCAUGCUUGUCAUAAGAAUGUCUAACAAUAUAAUUAUUAUUUUAGAUAACCAAAACAUUACCUCAUUAGUUCUUUUUCAUUUUUUUGUACCGGACUUCCUAGCUCUACAACAUCAUCAUCCACUUUUUCCAAUGUCUCAUAGGAAUCACAAGGUUGAGUCUUCCUCACUACUUUCCAACCUUUCUUAGAAUUAUCAUUGACAUAAAAAACUUGAGAUGCUUGGUUCGCUAAAACAAAUGACUCAUUUGUUUUCAAAAAUCUACCCGGAUUGAACUCACGAAGUCAUACUCAUCUUUUUUUACUCCAUUUAUUUCAUCAUGCACAUCAAACCACUUGUAUCAAAAUAAGGUCACUCUCCUAUCCGGUACAAAUUACAACUCAAUAACCUCUGUUAAAACUCUAUAGUAAUCAACAUUAUCACCAGGAGUACCAUUAUCGCCAACUACAACAACAUCAUAAUUCUGAGUUCUUAACUUUUUAUCAUAAUCUUCUACAUGAAAUCUAUAUCUAUUAAUAAUAUAACCAUUACAAUGUGUCGAAUAUUUGGUAGGACCGCAUGAAAGUGAAAGUAGAUCUUCCAUGAUAUAACUAUCAUCUCAAUUAUGACAUUGUGCGACCUAUGAAUAAAAUUACACUGAAUACUUUAGAAUGACUAAUAUAAUAUUAAAAUAGUAAAUUUGAUUGUUAUAUAUUUCUUACCUUAUCUUUAUCCAUUUAAUAAAUUAUCGGUUCCAUUCUGCAUCAGACAAGUGUCGAAUAGUAUCCUUAUGAGUUUGUGCAAAUUCUCUACAAAAUUAAAGUGAAUCAUAAAUUUCAUAUCGAAAGGAAAUUGCCAUGAAGGAAUAAUAAAAAUGAGACUACAUGAGUUCUUCCCAUACUUGAGAUACGGUAAGACUUCAUCACAAUUCUUCAAUAUGUAGAUAUAUGCUUGUUCCAAUUCAUCGGCCUCAAUCCCACAUGGAUCUUUAGCUCCUAAAAUUUUUCUAGGUUGAUAAAAUAUAGAUAAACCUCCAUCAGAUUCUUUUAAACCCCCAUCAUAAUUUAUUUUAAGCCGACUGAAUUUUGUGUUAAUUCUAAGCAAGUACCUUGAACACAAGGUCAUACACUCAUUUGCAAUGUAUCCAUCUGCAAUAGAACCUUCAGGGCAUGCCCUAUUACCAAUGAGAGAUUUCAAAAAAUACAACCAUCGUUCCACAGGAUACAUCCACCUAUAAUGAAUAGGCUUAGCAAUCUUAGCUUCAGUAGCUAAAUGAAUAGACAAGUGCACCAUGGCAUCAAAAAAUAAAGGAGGAAAGGCCUUUUCUAACUUGCAAAGUGUUAGGAAUUUGCACUUCAAUAUGUUCCAAAUCAUCAGUUCUCAACUCCUUGGAUCAAAGCACACUACAAAAAUAAGAUAACUUGAUAAGUGGUUCAACACUUCUUUAGACAACAUACCACGAAGUGCAAGAGAGAUUAAAUAUUGUAGAAGAACACAACAAUCAUGACUUUUCAACCCAGAUAUCUUGUGAUCUUUUAAGUUCACACAUUGAGAAAUAUUAUAUGAAAAACCAUUAGGCAAUUUAAGAUUCUUUAAGAAAAUACAAAAUUGGUUCUUAUCUUCAGGAGGCAAUGUGUAGCAUGUAGUUGAAACUUCAACUUUCUCCCCCUUUUAGAUGAGGUGCAAUUCUGGCCUAAUGUUCAUCUCUUACAAGUCUAAUCGAUUGUUAAUUAUAUCCUUGGUAUUUUCUUUGACAUUCAUAAAUAUCCCCAUAAAAUUCUCACAUAUAUUUUUUUCAAUAUGCAUAACAUCCAAAUUAUGUCGCAAUAAGAGAUACCCCCAAUAUGAAAGUUUAAAAAAGAUACUUUUCUUGUUCCAGUUAAACUUUUGAACUUUAUGUGAUAUCUUCUUCCUUUUAUUUAGAUCUCUUGAUAAUUGUUGCCCUUCAAGAUCUUGUACUUGAUUAAGUAUCUCUUUACCAGAAUGAUUUCUUAGUAGUGGCCUUUUCUAUUCUGUACCAUCAAAGGACUGCUUCUCAUGUCUCCAUUUGCGACUAAGAGAAAGGUAAUGCUGAUGACCCAUAAAACACUGCUUCUUACUGUUAGCCAAUCGAAUUGAGGAAGUGCCUUUGUUGCAACACGGACAUGCCAAUUUUCCUUUGGCACUCCAUUCAGAUAAAUUUCCAUAUGUUGGAAAGUCAUUGAUGGUCCAUAAUAAAGAUGUAUGCAACAUAGAAUUUUGUUUAGUUGAUGCGUCAUAGGUCUUAACACCUAUUCCCCAUAACUCAUUCGAUUCUUCUAUCAAAGGCUGGAGAUAUACAUCAAUUGCAUCUCCUGGAAUAUUUGGACUAGGAAUAAGCAUUGACAAAAUAAAUUUUUCUUGUUUCAUACACAACCAUGGUGGUAAAUUAUAAGGAAUAUGAACCACAUGCGAAAUGCUAUGUGAGGUUUUUGAAUUUAGAACUGGCUGAAAUCCAUCACUAGCAAGUCCAAGUCUUACAUUGCGGGGCUUGACAGCAAAUGAAGGAUAAUGUUCAUCAAGUGACUUCCAUGCCAUUGAAUCAGAUGAGUGCUUCAUUAUGCCAUCGUCAACUCUUUUAUCCUUAUGCCAUGUCAUUAGAGCAGAUGUCUUUGAAGACAUAAACAACCUCUGAAGUCUAGGCUUUUAAGGAAAAAUAACAUAAACUCUGUUGCUAUCUUUUUACCUUUCUUGUUCCUUAUUUCUCCGCUAUGGUUGUCUAUUUUCCAUCUAGACACACCACAAACUUUACGAGAAUCGAGUGAGUUAUCUUCCUUCCAGUAUAACAUGCAAUCAUUAGUGCAAAUAUCUAUCUUCUUGUAAAAAAGCCCGAGUUCUCAAAUUAUUUUCUUUGCCUCAUAAUAUGAGUUUGAUAAAUCGGCACCAUCAGGCAACAACUCAUCUUUCAACGUUUUCAAUAACAUUGUAAAUGAUGCAUUACUCCAGCAUCCCAUACUUUUGAUGUGAAGCAAUUCAGUCAAAGUAGAAACCUUUGACGCUUUUGAAUUUUGAUGCAGUGGCUGCUCAAAACCAUUCAAUAGUUUGUAAAAUUGUUCUGCUAUAAUAUUUGUCUCCUCCUCAACAUACACAAUUAGUGUAUGUAGGUCCACCAUCAUGAUUAGGAUACAAAUCUCUCAAUAAUUCUUCUACUUCAUCUUUACUCUCACAUUCUUCCACUUUAUCAUUAUAUUCAUCAUCAAAUUUGAAUUCAGAUAACGGUUCACCCAAGCGUUCUCAAUGGUGAAACCAGAAAGUAUAAUUCUGAACUAUUCCAUGUACUUUUAAAUGUGUCUCAAUUGUUGUACGAGUUUCCAAAGUAGUAUUGCAACAUUUGUUACAUGGACAUCGCAUUUCAUAUUUUUUUCCUAUUUUUCAAAAAGUAUAAUUCAAAAACUUUUUCACUUGCAUCCAUUGCUUACUAGGUGCCACAACCUUGUAAAAUAUAAAAAACAUUAAAUUGAGAAAAAUUAAAUGAUAAAAAAAUUUUGUAGUGUAGAGUCUGCAUGAUUUGGACCAGAUUUGAACUUAACCACAGUUGUAUAGACUAUACAGGGAUCAUGUGAUAAGUUAUUAUGGGCAGCACCCCUUUAAUCAGAGGGGAGCUCAAGCCUCGACCAAAGAAGUUAUGGUCAUUAACACUAUACAUUUCAGAAAAACAACCUCUCAAUUGGGAUCAACUUAUCACAACCACUAUACAAAAUUAGUUGCAGAUAACAACACAUUUAAUGAGAACUACAAAGUUCUGCUUUUUCUUCCCACACCAUUUCUGAGAAAUAAGCACCAUCUACUUUGCCGAGAGAGUCCCCUGUCCAUCCAUAUUUCCACAUGGAACAAAUAAUCCUUAACAAAAUGUCGCUUCCAGUUUAGAUUAAGGUAGUUUUAUGUUACUUUAUAUAUCUUAUAUGAAAUAUACUAGCUAAUAUAUUUUUUUUCAGAUUUGAACUUAACCACAGUUGUAUAGACUAUACAGGGAUCAUGUGAUAAGUUAUUAUGGGCAGCACCCCUUUAAUCGGAGGGGAGAUCAAUCCUCGACCAAGGAAGUUAUGGUCAUCAACACUAUACAUUUUAGAGAUAAAACCUCUCCACUGGGAUCAACUUAUCACAACCACUAUACAAAAUAAGUUGCAGGUAACAACACAUUUAAAGAGAACUAUAAAGUUCUGCUUUUUCUUCCCACACCAUUUCUUGUGAUAAAGUAGGAUAGUGGAGAGGAACACAGUUGGCGGUUCAAUAAAAAGAAAGUGCCGCUAACAAAUGAAACCUCAACCAAUAAACUACCAACAGCUCUAACAGGGAAAUUGAAAUGGAAAUCUAUAAUACAAAUAGAGUGUGCCUUAAUAGGGUCAAUUAAGAGUUUCCAAAUUAGGUAUAAAUGUGUAAGUUCAAAUUCAUUGGUGGACUAGUUCGUGGUUAGUCCAAAGAGUAUCUGCAAAAUUUUGGACAAAAGAAGCACAAAUAAAUAAUACAUUCCUCAACAUUAUAGAAAACUCUGUUGCCCAGAAUUUUGCUUUCACCGUGUUAAAAAAAGCAAAAUUUGAGUGAGAAUUAAGUGUUUUCUUCAGUUUGUGAUGGCCCUAACUGCAUAUGUAUUAAUAGUUCAUUCUAAUUCUAAAGUUUCCUGUUUCACUAAAUUUUUCUCCCUGGAUUUAGUCACCGACUUAAACUUCAAAAGAAUACACUAUAUUUAUAGCCAAUAACAUUAACAAUCUCAAAAACCGAAUCCCAUAAGAUGAAAUCUUCAAAUCAUUUUUGAAAGUGUGGACUACUUCUAGGCUAGAAACAAUACAUCGUUGACUAAUAUAUGCGCCUUUUGACAAGGCAAAAAUUGUACCGCAUAAAUUUCUACUAAAGAGUGAGCAGAGUAUGGAUCAUAUGCAGUUGCACCUAGAGACAGAUCCAAGAUUUAAACUUAAAAGGUUCAUUGUUAAGAUUCUUAUCAUCGCAGCCAUUAUAUUUUUAAAGUUAUGGGUUCAUAUCUACUUUUUACUUACACAUAAAUCUAUGCUCCGUGUUGAAAGUCAUGGGUUCAAUUUAACCCAUAUCAAUAAUUUUAGAUAUGCCUAUGAUUUCAUCCAAUUAUUUUUUCCUGAUUCGGUGUUUAAAUUGCGACCAGUAGCACCAAAUCAUCCAAGUAGGCCAAAAACAAACUGUACAAAUUCCUAAUAAUGACGGAUGAAAGUAUGGCUCAUCUACCAUUGCAUCUGAUUACUAUUUCUAUCUACCUCGGUGUUUAAAUCGUGAUCAUUAGCAUAAAUCUUUUAACAAGUUCAAAAAUGUACUACAUCCGAACUGCAGUAUGAACUACUGGACAUAUACUCUUAAAAAAUAAUAUACGCAAAAACAUAUCAACCCAAUCCCCAGGCCUUCACUCUAUCUACUUUGCCGAGAGAGUCCCCUGUCCAUCCAUCUUUCCAUAGGGAACGAAUAAUCCUUAACAAAAUGUAGCUUCCAGUUUAGAUUAAGGUAGUUUUAUGUUACUUUAUAUAUCUUAUAUGAAAUAUACUAGCCAAACAUGUACACCAAUCAUCAUAUCUAGCUGGAACAUCUUGUUAUGUUUUCAAGUAGAAGUUCAGGAUUAGUUAUAAUAUAUAGUAACUCUAAAGUCUUUAAUGUGAAUACUAACACAUAUAGUUGUCUUUAAAGUACAAAUAAGGGGGAAAAGCAAAAGAAGAAAGUCGAACUAGGAUUGCAGAAUCUAAUCCCAGAAUUUUAUGUUUUUAUAUUCUGAAUUAUCAAACAAGGCAUCUUAGUAGGUUCGAUAAAUUAUGGAUACAUAUGAUGAGAUUUUCUCAACACAAACACAUAAAUUUGACCAAAACUAUUGAGCUCUACUACACUCGUAGCUAAAACUCUUAACUCUAGCCCCCAUCUACACAUAAUAAUAUCAUUCUCUUUUGAUGUAUUGUUAAUAUUGGUUCAGAAUCAAGAAACAUGAGAGAAAAGGACUGCUUUUCAUAGUUCUACUGCUUUUACUGGCCUCAAGAAGUCAUCAGUCUAUACUAUCGAGACAGCGCUGAAAAAAAAAACAUAAACUAAUUGGAUGAUGUGUGAGUUUCAACUUCCUGCUAAAAAUGACAAAUCCACUAAACAUAUUCAAGCUAAAAGCAUUGCUCAAGAAGCUGUACGUAUAUUAAUCCAUUGAGUCUUACAUGUUUAGCUCGCGCAAAAAAAAGAAUCAUGCCUGCUCUAAUGUCGUAUUGUAUUAUACCGUAUAACCACUAUAGUUUUAGUUAUAUUAUGUCAUACACAAAUCUGAAUUUAGAUUUAAAGCUAUUAUUCUGAUGAAAUUUUUGGUGUUUUGUAGGAAGUUUGGACUCUCUGCAGAAUCUUUAAGUGAAACGAUUUAUAAAAGAAGUGACUGCCGGCAGAAUGUUUGGUGUUUUGUAGGAAAUUUGGACUCUCCGGAGAAUCUUUAAGAGAAACGGUUUAUAAAAGAAGUGCCUACUGUAGACACCUAAUUUUGUCCCUCCUGAAGUUGAAUUUUAUUUUUUUAGCUCAUCUUACCACGUACCCAUACCUAUUCUAUAUUUUUUCCACAAGAAAACAAAUACAACAAAUCCUAACAAAUUAAAUCUUCAAUCCCCAAAUAUUACCUUAUCUUAACAAACUUUAUCCUAACCGCCUACCCCUAUCCCACCUCACCCCUAUCCAACCACCUAAUCCAUACCCUACUCCCUACCCCUUUACCCAUUUUUUACACCAUAACAGAAAGGGGAAUAAGGGACACAUCACAAUAACUUGGAGAGGGGCCCACCACUAACAAAAUUGAUCCACCAUCAUCAUACAUAGAUACAUAGCCACCUCCAUUUUUAGAGGGACACAAGAAUACACGCACAGAACAUAGAGCACAAUUCACGCAUAGACCAUCUUUUCAUACACCAUCGGAUUUAUCACAGCAACACACACCAAGAAUACCCUCAUAUACUUAUCUCACCCGCACACACCAUGGGAUAGAAUCCUUAAUAUCACUCUCACGAUCACACACACUCACCGAAAAAACACACUCUCUCACCGAAAAACACACUCGCUCAUUAGAAAACUCUAUCAAUUUAUAGCAUAGUUCACUCACCUCACUAUGCACAUACUGAACCGAAGGAGAAAGAGAUUGGGGAGGUAAACGGAGAAGGGUUAACGAUAUAAUUCGGCGUCUUGACUAUUUUUCGACAAACCUUCUCACCAAAAUUGGUUUACAGGUGGUCUUGCUAAUUGAUUCAAGCUUAAAACUCCUAAAACAUCUCUUGGUUCCCAUUGGUAUUCGGUUCCCUGUCAUUAUCAACUGCUUUGGGUUCGUCUGUCUUAGAAAUUCACUUUCGAAAUUGGGCUUUGGGUUCGUCGGGUUUCGUCCUUGGUUCGGGAAUCUAGUUUUUGUUCAUCUCGUCCUAUCCAUCGAGAUCAGUUUUGUUUUUGAAUUCCUCAAUAUCGAGUUUGGAGUUUUUGGUUAUCGAGGUUCAAUUCGAGGUAUUUCGGACGCUGUUCUAUCUCCGAUAUAUUGAAAUGGAGACUUGAGGUCCAAUCUUUUGACUCCCUCUUUUCACUUUAUUUCGAUUUGGUGCAUUGAUGUUAUGAUUAUGUGUUGCUGGUUAUGAUUGGAUGAUCUUGUUGAUGUUUGAUAUUGUUUAUCCCUGAAUAAUUAAUCAUGGUAUGAGAUUAAUGUUAGCAUGGGUUUGAAUAAUUACUUUGUAUGAAAAUUGACGUAAAAGAGGAAAUACGGGGCGGAAUUGAGAAAUUGAUAAAAAUGGUGAAUAUAGAUCAACUUUGGUUUAUUAUCUUUUUUGUUUAAAUCGAAAUAAGCGUGAAUAUUAUUGGAACGUGACAAAAUUAUGAUAUGUUGAAACGGAUAGGCAAACGUAAGUUCGGGUAGGCAAAUUUAGAAAUAACGAUUUGUUGAGUGUUUGAAUAUAUGUGUGAAUGAUUCGUUCUAUUUUAUCGUACAAAAAUUGAAAUUGUACUCAUGUGGCCGAGAAAUGCCCUGGGAGAUUUGUAUUGAUUUAUCUGGGGAACGCCCCGAAGUACCAUGUACGCAGAGAAGGCUCGGGAUUAAGGCCUGAGGCAUCGGGUAAGGCAUUGUAGCAUAGUUUUAGGAUUAGUUUAGAAUAAGAUUUACAUUUCUGUAUUUUCGAUUUUGGAUUGUAUAAUUGGACUGGACAUUAUAUUUUAAGUUUGUUUGAUUGAUUGUUUUAUGUGUUUUUGUGUGGUUUAUACAUUUGUAGUGUCAAAUUAGCCGAUAUGUUCCAUCAAGCGACCGUGGUCGAACUACGGGACCAAGGGGUGGCUAACACCUUCCCCUCGGUCAAUAAAAUUCUUUAACCAAAAUCUCUGUUUGCAAACUAGUUUCAAACAGUCAAACGGUUUUGGAAAGGAUUUUUAAAACUGACUUGGCACACCGAGCUUAUGUCAAGUGGCGACUCUGAAUAAAAAUGUAAAUAAUCCUUUUUUCGAAAUAAACUUUCUUCAUUUUGUCACUUAAUAAUAAAAAUCCUUUCAUCCCUUAAAAUGAAUCUUUUUUUUGGUUAAAAAAGGGUGUGACACCUGCAGAAUGGAGAGUAGCAACAGUAAAGAGAAACCCAAUAGUCAACACAAGUUCACAAACAUGCGGUGCAGAUUCUUAAUUAGAUAAUUAUGUAAUAAGCAUACCAUUACUCAUGAAACAAAACCCUUUAUUCGUGGCCAUAUUCAUGAUCAAAACAUAUCAAAUAACAACUAUUGUAACCAGCAACUGAUUAUGGGGCAACUCAUGAGCUCAUCACCAGUGUAUACUCAUCAAACACCUUCAUCGAACUUUGGUCAAGACAUGAAUGAGUUGUUAAAAAAUGGAGAUUAAUGGAUGAGCUUAGAUCUAUUUUAGAGCUUGAUCACUUUUGAUCUCAACCUUUUCAUCUUGUACACUCAAAUAACAUGAUGAUAUGUAGCUUGACUGAGUACUACUACUAGUUUGCCAAAUAUGACCGUUUGCCAAAUAUGACCACUCGUCUAAAUAAUAGUCUAUAUAACUUCUUGAACUAAAUAUAUUCAGUGAAAACAGAUCAAACCAAUGAAAUAGUUGUAUAAAAAUUUUCUUGAAUUUACACUUGGUCAUUCAACUUUAAAUCGAUUUCAUGGAAAACAGAAAAUAGAACAUCUAUAACUUUCAGUGACAAAACAAUGAAAAAUAAGAAACAGAACAUCUAUAACUUUCAUAUUCUCUUCAAAUUGUUGGAAUUAAAGAAUCAAACGAUUUUAUGGAUUAAACGAUUUCAUAUUCUCAUCAAAGAAUCAAAUGAUUUCUAUGGACCAAAUUAAAAAAAUCUCUGAAUUUACACGUGGUCGUUCAACUUUAAAUCAAUUUCAUGGAAAACAGGAAAUAGAACAUCUGUAACUUUUAGUGACAAAACAAUGAAAAACAGGAAAUAGAACAUCUAUAACUUUCAUAUUCUCUUCAAAUUGUUGGAAUUAAAGAAUCAAACGAUUUUAUGGAUCAAACGAUUUCAUAUUCUCAUCAAAGAAUCAAAUGAUUGCUAUAGACCAAAUUAAAAAAACAGAGAUUUUUUGAAGCUGUGAUGGAAAACAGAGAGAUGAGAUUUUAUGGAUGAAAAAAUCAUACCUCAGUUGCUAUAUAUGGAAGCUGUGAUAAUGAUUUAGGGAAAAAUGAUAUGUUGGAGAAAGCUGCAAUUUGAAGCCGAUAAUGAGAAAGCUGAUGAAAAUUUUGAUGAUUGUUAUUAGAGACAUAUUAUUAGGGAAUGAUUUUG